rnacentral:lncRNA from 1 species
ACAAGAACAAUUCGUCAAAGCACAAAAAUCAAGAUAAAUUUCGUAAAUUUCGUAAAUUUUUGAAAUCAUAAUAAAGCCCAUCUGGUCGUUUUCCAUAUUAUGACUUUCAAAUCGCCGAUCGGUUCUGUUGAACUUGAUCUAGAAUAUUUGAAGUACCUAGAAAAUAAAUUUUAUGAUUUUUCAACAUCAUUUGCUUAGUGAUCGAAGGAGCUCAAAAUCAAUAAUUUUAAUCACCAUCAUGAGCCGUUCGCAAGUUAAACGAUAUAGAAAUAUCCAAAUCACGUGAAAUUUUGAUAGAAAAUUCUUUAUACUAUAUAAAACAAUAUCAAUAUCUUUUAUCUAAAAUUUUAAUGUCAUAUUAUUACGUUUUGUAAGAUUUUUAUUUUCAACCGCUGGUUUUGAGCCCCUUCAUUCACUAAGCAAAUAAUAUCAAAAAAUCGCAUAAUUUAUUUUCUAGAUACUUUAAAUACUCUAGAUCAAAUUUAAUGAAACCGAUCAGCGAUUCAAAAGUCGGAACAUCUAGUCCAAUUUUAUCUACCAUCGAAGUGAAAAAACGACCUGAAAGUACGGAAGGCUCCGUACUUACAAAAGUAUAAUAACCCCACUCUCUCUCUCUCUCUAUAUAUAUAUAUAUAUAUAACACAUAA